UGCUUAUUUGCUUCUUGAAUAACAUGUUUGACCACCGUAUUUUCUUUUCAAUAACUAUCUCCGCAAUCACCAUAUCUGUCGUGUACCAAGUAUACCCAUUAGUUUUUUAAAUAUAAUUUUCUUAUUUUUUGGUAUAUAAAAUCAUCUUUAUUGAAGCCGUGUAAUACACGAGGGUUUUAAAGAUAUAACUUUUUUUUAUUAUUUGGUAAACAAUAUUACAUUUAUUCAACCCAUGUAAUACACGUGGUAUUAAAAAUAUAAUUUUUUAUUAUUUGACAUAUAAAAUUACAUUUAUUCAAUCCGUACAAUAUGGUUCUUAUAGAUAUAACUUUUUAUUAUUUAAUAUAUAAAAUUUAUUCAACCCGUACAAUAUGGUUCUUAUAGAUAUAACUUUUUAUUAUUUAAUAUAUAAAAUUAUAUUUAUUCAACUCGUGCAAUAAAAGAGGUUUUUAAAGAUAUAUUGUUUUAUUAUUUAGUAUAUAAAAUUGAUUUAUUCAACCCGUGUAAUACACGGGGUUAUAACCUAGUUCAUAUAUAUGUAUUAAUUUGAAACAUAUGGAUGAAUAGUGCUACAGUAAUUUUUCAUUUUUUUAUCUUUGACUUUAUCUUUUUGUUUUUUUGUUACUUUUAACUUUUAGUAUUAACUCUUACGACCCCUUAACUUUCUAAAUACUUUUUAAUCGAGUUUUACGUCUUCAUUUUUAUUUACGUGUCGAUAUAAACUUAAGUUGAUUUACGUUUCGACAUAUUUUUUUGUGUUUUCUCAACUUUCAGUAUUCACACUGACAACCCUUUAACUUUCUAAAUAUUUUUGUAGUUGGUGAUUUUUUGUUCCUUUUUUUUUUGUCUUUUUGCUUUUUUUCUUUUGUUUUACUUUUAAUCUUUAUUUUCCAGUAUUGACUCUUACAACAUCUUAACUUUCUAAAUACUUUUUAAUCGACUUUUACGUCUUUAUUUUUAUUUACAUGUCGAUAUAAACUUAAGUUGACUUACAUUUCGACAUUUUUUUUGUAUUUUCUCAACUUUUAGCAUUGACACUGACAACCCUUUAAAUUUUAAGUACUUUUGUAAUCGAGUUUUCCGGUCGAUGUAAAACACGUGUCGUCAUAUUUUUGUACUUACCACGACUUUAUUUUGUAAGUUUCCUCUUUCAACUGCUAUAUCGGAUCAAAAAUCGGGUCGCCCCGCCACGAAGCGCGGCUAUAACCCACUAGUUAUAUGCAUUAAUCCAUAAAAUAUGAGGAAUAGUAUCUAUGUUGUUUUUUGUGGGUUUGUUUGUUUGUUUUUUGAACUUUAAUGUUUUUCAUAUUUAUUAUAAAGCUUUGGUUUUUUAUAACUUUUCCAAAAAGGUUAAAAUGUUAUUGUUUUAGGCUUUUUCUCGGAUAUGAUCGUCGUUCGGUAGCUACUUAGUGUGGUGUUUAGUGGUCACAUCUGAUCUAUCAGGGUUUUUUUGUCCCCUCAACUUUCUAUUAAGUGUCGUAUAAAUUCGAUUUCGUUUACGUGUCAUGUUACGUGAGUCACUUGGUCAUUAGUUUACGCCCCCUCUCCGCAAUGCUGGUAGAUAUGGUUUUACACCACCUCCACGCAACGCGGGGGCCUAAUGACUUAUCUUAGAAAACCAGUCGGUCCACGACCAUUAUUGUGACAAUUAUUUGUACUAUGUUUUGAUUCACGCAAUUACUAUUGCCAUAGUCUUCUGUCUACAUACUGUCACUUUGCUUGUUUGUCAAGUGAUACUAUCCUAAUUAAAAAACAUGUUUAUUUAUCUUACAUGUUUUUAUAUAUUUAUUGUAUUAAACAUCGUGGAUAAAAAAUAACAUUUAAAUUUAGACCAUUUUAUAACUAUUGUGCAACUACACCAAAGCAUGUAAUUUUUUAUGUACUUUAAUGAAUUAAAACAUGGGCAAGGAUCAUUUGAGAAUUCUAAGUAAUUGCAUUGCAGAACUUUCAGAACUUCUAACAAACAAUCAUUUCAUAGAUAUAUUUUAAUAUUUAAGUAUCACAGAUAUAAAAAUAUAUAAACAAAAAUAUAGUUUAUUAAGAGUUCUAAAAAUCUACAAUUAUUUAGAGUUCUGAAGUAAACCCAACUCGUUAAAACAUAACUAAAGAUCAAUGAGGCUAUCUCCAUCCACAACCUUCUCCAACCCAACCUUAUAAUAAAAAACUAAUUUCUCUCUCUUCCACCUACACAACCCAACCUACCUCAACCUUCUACUCACAUUCACAACCCAACCUUUAUAACAUUUUUUUAUUAAAUAUAUAUUUUUAUGCUUAUUAAUUAUCCAUAAAUGUGUUAAAAAUAAUUACAAUUAAUAUUUUCAUCUGAAAACGAUUUGUUUUAAAAGCAAAAUA
rnacentral:lncRNA from 1 species